GUCCGGGUAGGAUUUGAUGGCCUCCUGCAGCUCCUUGUACACCUGGGUGGCGUCGUUGCAGCCGAACAUGGGCAGCUUCCACAUGGUCCAGUAGCGGCCGUCGUAGUAGCACGGGGAGGUGGAGUUCUCGCGGUACACGAAGCCGACCUUGCUGAACUCGAGGCAGGGUAUCCAGCCGUUGCGCAGCAGGUAGUCCACCUGCUUCAGCAGGUCGUCCGUCGACAGCGGCGGCAGGUACGACAGCGUCUCGAACUUCUUGUUGCCGUAGGCCGGCCACACCUGCACGUAGUACGUGUGUUUUGGUUCGUUUGGGGUUGGGAAAUGGGAUGGGAUGGGCAACACACAUCAGUCCAUGCAUGGAUCAUCAGUUCCCUUCCUAUUACUAACUCGCUAGCUGCAGCUGCUGCAAUGCAAAGAACUACUAGCUAGGAUGCAUUUGUUACCUGCAUGCACCGGAUCCUUCCGCCGUUGCUGACGUUGCCGAGGCUUCUGGAGGAGCGGCGGGCGACGGGGAGGCUGGCGGUGGACUUGAGCCCCUGGAACGGAGCGACGGCGGUGGCCGACGAGGCCAUCAUCACGGUGGGCGCCAUGGCUGCCUGGCUGCCUAGUAUGUAUGUACUCGCUGCUUGCUUGCUUGCUUGGGUCGUCCUGUAGUAGGCUCCCCCACACCGACGGCAUAUAUAGAGGGGGAGAGUGUGCGACGGGAUGGCCGGCUCCGGCUCUCGUUGGGGGCAGGACGCAGUACAGGACAGGACGAAGCGGAUGUGGGACGAGUGGCCACCGUUCUCCCGUGGCCGCGCCCGGCCAGCCUGGCCCUAUCCUGAUCGCGUCCGCCACCACAUGUCGCGUCCCCGUGGCGCGCCUUAUCGCCUGCGCGCCAUGGUUGGACUAUGCGUGAUGUGCCAGGGACUUGUAGAUAGGAGGAAGCGCAGUUUAGGCUCGUCGCGGUUCUGGGCAAAGACAAAACAGUUUUGGGCUUGGGCUUCGGCUUCGGCUUCGGCUGCGUCUGCUUGCAGUUUUGGCUCUUUGCAUCGUCUGCUGCUCUCUCACCUGAGGCACUGACGCCGGCCCUGUUUGGAUCUACAGAAUUGGGCUGAAUUCAAGUCAGUUUCCAGGAUGGCUUGUUUGGCAGCGCAUUGAAAUUGGAAAGUGACAGUAGAAUUUUUUGGCAUAUAUAUGCGCCUUACUUAGCUACCUCGAAUUCAUGGCAAUUCCGCCUCUUGUCUUUUAUCGGGCGUCGUCCACGAGCGCCUACGCCUUCCCCAACCAUUCCACCUAUUCUAUUUUUCUACAAAAAAAAUAAUUACCCCAGCCUCAGCUAUUUAUGAAAAAUAUAUGAACUUUCGCUAGAGUUGCAUUUGAAUUCCCCACGUCUGUCAUCAGUCAUCACGAAAGAAAGGUAAAUCUAAAACUCCUCCUAAAAAUGUUAUUUAAUUACCCAAACAUGCCUAAAACUGCAUUUAAGGAUAUCUACUAUGAAAGGUAUUGCAAAAUAACACACUAAAUGUGCCAUUUAUCUUUGCAAGCCGCGGAUGCAGAUCUAGCGCCAGAUUAAAGGGAGCUCGAUUCAUGGAUAUAUGUUCUUUUUCAAAGAAUGUUUAUGGUCGAUGUUUGUUAUUUUUUUCGUUUUGCGAAACCGUAUGCAAGAAAUUACAAAAGGUGGGGAACUUUUUGUUUUCAUAAUCAAAAAAAUAUGUCUUUUAGAUUACGCGUAUCUAAGCAAUGUAAAUACGCUAAAUUUGUGUCUUACUUAUGUACCUACGUGCUCAAUUAACUAAAUAUUCCACAUAUUUUUGUCUUACCAAUAUAAUCUAUUAUAGAAAAUAAUUCAACAACCAUAGAAAUAUGCAUAAAUUUUUCUAGACUACACAUUCUACCAUUUCUCUACUGAUAUAAGGUCCUGUCCUUAAGCAACCUAGUUUUUAAGAAGCCAGAUUCUAUCUCUAAUUUCCAGAAAUUGGUUUAUAAAAACAACUGGUUAAUCGUGUUUGUAACCAUCUCAAUUUCUAUAAAUUAGUUUUAGCUAGGGGAGGCUAGCUUCUUGGUUUUAAGAAACCGAGAAUCCAGUUUCCAUAAACAAGCACAUAAACUGAUAUGUUUGAAACCACCUCAUCUUGAUAAACCAAUUUCUUAAAACUGGGAGCUUCCAUACAGACCCUUAAGCAUCAGUUUUUCUCGUUUCCACCGUCGUCCAUUUAAAAAAUCCUUAUGCAUUUUAUAAUCUAACCCACGGUCUAACAACUACAACACAUACAAGGCAAAACCGCAUUCUUGUGUCACUUUCCAAUUCAAUGCGUUGGUGGCCCCAGGUCUGUACAGUCUCCGUGUUCGCCCCGAGAUCUUGCCUGGCGAUGUUGCCUCCGACCUCGUCGCGACACAGAUCCUCGUGCCCGAUAUACCUCCGUGUUGGCCUACCCACGCUCCCCAAACCCUAGGGGUUCCACGCACGAGAUAGGGAUAUGAAGGCGCUGGUGGGGCGGACGGUGCGAAAUCGGUAGGCCCCUCACAAUCCCCUCCCACAAGUUGUCAUCGAUCUCGCUGCGACAUAGGCCCUCGCGCCCGAUCUACCACCACACUGGCCUCCCCUCGCUCCGCAAACCGUAGGGGUUCCGCACGAGAUAGGGAUGGAGGCGCUGCUGGGGCAGGUACUGUGGAAGACGUUCCCAGGGUUCGGUACCUUCAUGGGCGUUGUGGAGUCGUACGACCUCUACGCGACCUAUUUCUACAUGCUCUAAAAGGACGAUGAUUCCGAGGAGGUCGACGUCGACAAGUUGGCCCUAGAUUAUCGUUGGACCCACGAUGCCAUGCGCGCUGCAGUAACAACAGAAGCACACCCACUACAGGAGACAAAAUCAUUUUUGGCGGUCAAAAGCCGCCAAAAAUAAGCCAUAUACCACCGAAAAUAGCUUAUUUUUGGCGGCAUCUUGCCGCCAAAAAAAUUAUCCAAAAAUAAAGACUAAUUUUUGGCAGCAACACCUAGGUCGAAAAUAACUUAUUUUCGACGGUCACGCUGUUGCCGCCGAAAAUAGAGCAGCCGAAAAUAUACAAGCUUAUUUUCGACAGAAUGUAAAAUUAACAGCAAUUUUAACAACACUAUAAUAUAAUCACAAUAUUAUGACAGCAAAAGAAAUUCCAGAAUUACACACAUUCAACACAAAAUAUCACAAUUCACCACAAUUCCUCACAAAUACAUCACAGUUCACCAAAAUACCUUACAAAUCCAUUACAAUCUAGCACAAAUUCACAAUUCCAUCACAAAAACAUCAUAAUCGAGUGCAUCAUCCAAAAUCACCACAAGAGUCAAAUCAUGUCUCAAGGUAUUGGUGGUCCAACCACUUGGGCUUCAGAGUUGCCCUCGAAAAAGGCUAAGGUUUGAUUCAUUUUCACCGGCGUUGUAACGAGGAGGUGGGUUAUGCACACUCGAGAGAUUGUCACCAUAAUAUGUUGAUGUGAAGUUUGACACCUACUCCAGAAUGUAUGCCUGUUUAAUGGAAGCCUCCAUUUUGCAUUUCUUUCUACAUUUCUUUUGAAUAACCAUUAGACACUUCUCGAUUGAAUAUCACCAAUGUCCCUGCACGGGGCCCCGAUUCGUGCCUCAUACGGGAGAUGCAGAAUCAAAUGUUGCAUCGGAUUGCCAUUCUUUCCAAGUGGAAGCCAAGUGGAAAGUUCUUCUCCAACUUACACAUUAACACGAGUGCCAUUCUUUCCAAGUCUGCAAUCAUGGUCCGAGAUAACUCCUCGACACAAAGCUAGCAGAAGAAAUAGCUCAACUCUGCAAGAACUAUCUAGACAUGCUCAGGGACAUAGCCCCAUACCAUCCCCAGAAGAAGUUGUUCAAUCCAUAUGUGGUAGUCAUGACUCUUCAUCCCUAAGACUCAUAUAGUAGAUAAGUUCACCCCCUACUCAUGUUAGCUGCAUACCCAUCAGGGAACAUUAACAUCUUGAUCCACUCUAGUACUUCCCUCCUCAGGGCCUUGCUCAAGACAAAAUCGACCUUAGGCCUUCUCCAUGUCUUUCCACUACUAGGAAGCUUCAUCUCUUGGUUUGGUCUAUCACAUAACACUGCCAGAUCCACUCUUGCCUUAAUGUUAUCCUUUGUCUUAUCAGGAAUAUCCACGAUUGUUGCCCAAAGUGCCUCUAUGGCAUUCUUUUCAGUGUGUAUCACAUCAAUAUUGCGUGGAAGGAGAAGGUCAUCAUAAUAGGGGAGCCGAGUCAAGCCCGAAUUUAUGGGUCCACAUAUGUUGCUCACCAUAUCCCACAAAACCACCUUCUAGAUUGACCACGAGACCGUCUAUUUGUUGAUGAACUUUGGCACUAGUCAUCUGUAAGGAAAAUUGACCUCGACCCAUUUGACUAAAUGAUUUUGUUGAUCGAUGAUCAACAGAAUCUAUGGACUAAUGUGUUUGCUAGUGUUUGUAUUUGUAGUUCACAAGAUGCUAAAGUAACUUGGACCAAGGCAUUGAGCAAGCAACACUCAAAAGAAGACACUAUGAAGACCAUAAGUGAAUAUCAAGAAGUAUAAAGCAAAGUACAAUACUUGAAUAAAGUGUAGCCACUCGCGGACCGUCCGGCUGAGAACAACGGACUAUCCGAUGCACCAGGAAACAGGACCCAACGACUAGUUUCCUGGUGGCACUGUGGAGGACAACCACCGGAUUGUUCGGUGCACCACCGGACUGUCCCGUGUAAGGAUGACAUGCGACAACAGUCACCUGCAACGGUCAUAUCCAACGGCUAUGGGGCACCGGAUAGGGCACCGGACUGUCCAGUGCCUACCACCAGACUGUCCGGUGUGCCACAAAGAGGAACAGCUUUUCUCCAACUGCUAGUUUUGAGUUGGGGCCUAUAUAUACUUCACCCAACCGACCAUUUUGAAGGUGUGGGAGCCCAACAUACCAGCACAUGUUAUAGACAUUUCCAAGUGCUCAAACACCCAAGUGCUUAAUAGAACCACUCGGUGAUUAGCGUAGGUGUUUUGCGAAGUGCUUAGGUUAGUUAGACCACUUAUACGCUUGCUCUAGGUGAAUCCUAGUUAGUUGAGUGAGUUUAGAAAAACCCACAAACCCCAUGGCUCUUGUGCGAGCUGUUGUAAUUGUAUCGCAUGGAGCGAGAGUCUUGCGAGACUGUGAUAACCGAGUUUGUGUCAUGGCCGCCACCGUGUACCGAAGGGAACGAGGCCCGUAACGUUUCGGUGGGAAUCUCUAUAGUGGAGACGACGGGGAGCGUUCGAUAGGAGCUGGAAGCGGAGCACCACUUGAGCAUGAAGAAGGCCCAUGACUCUCUACGGAGUUACUCGACCGUGGUGCUUGGCUCUCGCGUGGGCUACUCUUUUGCGUAGGGGCACCAACGAGGGUUAGUCGGGACCUUGCGUGGUUCCGGAUACCUCGGUAAAAAUACUAGCGUCAUCCAUGAGAGUUUGCUUUCUCUACAACCUCUUUAAUCUUCUGCAAUUACUCUAUCUACUUACGUUGCAAUCUUUACUAUUUUUAUUGUAGAAUAUUUAUGAUUGGAACUUAGGUUGCUUUUGCGGUAGAGAUAGCAACACUUACACAAAACCUAGUUUGCACAUUCUAGAUUGCUUAUUUGCAUAGGUUUUGUUCUAAGGAUUUAUUUGUGACCUAGUUUAGAAAGUAGUUUUUAGAAGUCCUAAUUCACCCCCUCUUAGGCAUCGCCGUUUCCUAAAUAAUCACUGUAGGUGGGCGGUCUAUCACUAUGACACCUUUCAUAAAGGUCUUGAUGUCUUAUCGGAAUGCAUGAUCAGGAGGGAGAAAUUGUCGGUGUUUAUCGAACGUCGAAUAUUUGUCACCCUUCUUCAACCAAAUGAACCUAAGACCUUGAUUGCAAACUGGACAUGGGAACUUACCGUGAACACACUAGGUGGAGAAUAGCCCAUAUGCCGGGAAGUCAUGUAUGGAGUACUUGUACCAAACAUGCAUUUUGAAGUUUUUCUUUGUAGCUCAGUCGUAUGUCCAUACCCCUUCCUCCCAAGCACAGACCAAUUCAUCAUUCACAUGCUCCAUGUACACACUCAUUUUAUUCUCCGGGUGUCCAGGAAUUAUCAACGACAAGAACAUGUUCUGUCAUUGAAAGCAUAUGACGGGGGAGAUUGAGGGGGAUAACGAACACAGGCAACACGUGUAUGGGUAGCUAUCAAUCCAUACGUAUUGAACCCAUCUGUGGCCAGUGCAACAUGUACGUUACGAGCUUCUUUAGCUUCGUCAUGGUGAAUGACAUCAAAUUGGGUCCAUGCUUCACCAUCGGAUGCAUGUACCAUCUUGUCAGGAUUCUAUCGUUUUCCAUUUUUGUGCCAUGCAUCUGUUUCAUGGAAUCCUCAGUCAUGUAUAGCCAUUGGAUCCUCGAUAUGAAUGGAAUAUGUGUAGGAUUAUCACAGGGAUGCUGAGCUAUCUCUUCUGUCCAUCACCAGAGUCUACCUCCAUGAACCUAGACGAUUUACAUUUCAGACAGUACUUUGCCUCUGCGUAUUCUUUCCUAAAUAGGACGCAACACUUCGGACAAGUAUGUAUUUGCUCAUACGUCAUCUUGAGUGCAUGAAGGAGUCUCUGUACCUCAUACAUGAUCUUUAGCAGAACGUGAUCCUCUUUAAGCAAGCUUCUAAUAACUGUCAACAUACCAUCGAAGGCUUCUCGACUCAGUCUAUACUAUGACUUUAAGGCCAUUAUAUGUCCAAUGGCACCCAAUUGAGAAAUGUAACACCCAGUUUGUAACCUAUAAUAAAAGAGGAGAAAUUAAUUCCUUUAUCUAUAUGAGUGUUAUUCCUACUUAUCAUCACAUGUGAACACCAUAAUCAAAAAAAUAAUAAUUAAUAAAAGACUUACCAAAAAAAAUGUGUGCAUCAUGUUGGUUCUUUAUUUUGUGUGCAUUAUGUGGCAAUAUAAAAGUAAUGUGACAAGAAAUAUAUUAAAUUCCCAAGUGGAAAUUUAGAAUUUAAAAGAAAUCCUAGAAUUGAGAAAAGAAGAGAAAUUAAUAGGGGAAUAAAAAUAAGUAUAAAAAUAUAUACAUUAUUCUUAUACAUAUUGGAUUUUGAAUAUUUUACUCAAAGGUUAAGUCCACAAAAAGGGAUUCAAAUUCAAACUAGAGAUUCAAAUGAAUAUAUAUAAAAAAAGAUAAAAGAAAAAGGGGAAAGAAGCCAAUUGGGCCUCAGGCUUCAUUUCGGCCCAGUAACCAAAACACACCAUGCGGCCCGUCCAGCCGCCUGGUGGUGGUGCCGACAGGUGGGCCACCCUUGUCAUCCCGCUCUCACGCGCACUUGGCAAGAAACUUGUUACGCUGCUGGCGGGCCCCACUCGUCAGACUUAUCUCCCUUCUCACAACAACCCCCGCGUCAGCGCAACAGAACCGUGGUGCUGCCCAGGGAUUCCGAGCUCGCGCAUACGCCUACCGAAAUCGAAGCCGAAAUUCGUGGAAGACUACCUGCUCGGGCUGCCAUCCUCCCUCCGAUUUUCCCCGUCGCAACCAUCGCCGUUGAUCUCGGAUGCCGUUGAGGGUAGUCCGCACAUGGGGAAGGCCUAUAAGUUGGGCGAUGUGCGUUCCUCCUCCUAUCCCACCUCUCCAGAAGUUUCGUGGCCGGGCAGGGUGAGAUACUCGCGGUUGGGAGCUCGACGGAACCACCGUCACGUGGUCAUCUGUGCUGCUCCAUGGUCGCGUGCGUGGGCAUCGAGCGACCGCCUGCGUAGGGAGGAAAAGGGUUAGCCGCCGCGUCGUUUCCUCGGAACGCCGUCGUCCUGGCUCGGGUAGCCGCAAUUGAGGUUCGCGAGAGCACGUGGGUCAUCGUCAGGCUAGGCGCCAGGUGUGGCGGUCUCCAGAAUCCGACUAAUUCGUCGCCGGGGUUUUCUUUCGCGGCGGAAAUUGUGGUCGGCCGUGGCCGGCUGAUCUGGGCGCCAAAUCGACCGGUAUGACCUAACCUAUUACCUUCCUCGCCAUAACCGCAUUCGUUUUUAUAAAUCCGGGGGUCGAAGUAGUUGGCCGGGUCGCGCAAAUCGCUUGCCGCGGCGGAACUCCGGUGGGCGUUUGGGGGUGGCGCAGCCGCAGGCGGCCGAGGGAGGAAGAUACACUUGCGCCGUCGGAUGGGAGUUGGACGGGGAUGAUUAGAAUUGAGCGUACCCUUUCGCUGAUGCCAUCUGGGCCGUUCGACUGGUCUCGGACGGGUGCGAUCAGGGCGCGCUUAUUUUAAACCAGGGCCGUGAAAUCUAGAUCCGACGGCUAGGGUUGAGCGCGGAGGGUAACUCGCCUGGAUCUAAUCUGACACGUCUGUUUCAGAUCGGGCGGUCUGAACUUGUCGAUACCGCUUCGCUGGCCACUUUGCUAAAGAGCCCUCGGGAAACUCAGAAACCAACCCGCGAUCCGUCCCUGGUAGAUUCUGAGUCUGGAGAAAUCUUAUAAGCUAGCCCCUGUCUUUCCCUGUAAUAGGCGCCUAGUCCAGAGAGUUAUAAAAUCAGAGAAAUGAAUUAGAAAAUGAGUUUUUAAAAUAAAAACAAUACCUAGAUUUUGUAUAAUUCAUAGAAAAUGCAUAUGAACUCCAAAUUAGUUCAUUCCAGUUUCUAAAUUUUCAUAAUAUUAUUGUCUAACCAUUGGUGCCUCUGUUUGGCAUGAAAGACACAUUAAAAUUUAUCUAAUACUUAAUCAUGUAUUAAAUACAUAAAAUCUUGGAAAAUUCAUAACUUAAAAUCUAUAACUCCAAAUUUAAUGAUUCCAGUUCCUGUGAUCUUAUUUUAAUAUCUAGAUUAUUACUGUGUAUUUUAUUUACAUGCUUGGUGUAAUGUUAAUUUUGCCUAUACAAUGUUUGUUUGUAUUGCUACGACUACAGCGAGGACACGUGUCAUCUGAAGAUCAUCCUGGUACCUGGAAUCUCAAGUCACAGGCAAGUUGUGCCCUUGAUCACUUCUUUUACCUACUCAUGUUCUGAUUAAUCAUAAUGAUCUGCAUAGGUUACUUUUGAUGGGACCCAAUAGGUCACCCUAGUUUGUUCAUCCUGAAUACCUUGUUUACCCCUAAAUCACUUGGGUAGUUCUGCUACUGCUUUAUAUGGUUUUGGGUUAAUAUUUCAUUACAUCUAUGUUCCAAUUAUGUUGUUAUUCUAUUUAUGUUCAUGACAAGAUCAUUAAAAUGUUAAUUGGAACAUAGAGCUUAACUUGAGAACCACGUGCCACCACAAGGGUUUAAUGGGACGCCCUUGGCUGACUAAUUAGGAAAGCUAGUGGAGGACUACCUUACCCGAAAGGGGCAAGGGCAGUAGGGGAGUGGUCAGUGUAGGGAGGCCCUCGGGAGGAUUUUGCUGCGAUGGCGGUCCUGCAAGGGAUUCCUGCAUUGGAGCUUCCUAUAAACUGUAGCGGGUUUUCUGAAGCUAGUGGAACUUUGUAAAGGCCUCGUAGUGUUACCCUGCCUCGCCUCCUCGGUAGAGGUGUAUGGGAAGUCGCGAUCCCUUGGCAGAUGGGUAACAUGACUUGUGGGUAAAGCGUACCACCUCUGCAGAGUGUAAAACUGGUAUACUAGCCGAGCUCACGGUCAUGAGCAGCUCAGGACUCUCUGAUGAUUAAAUUAUAGAACUUAAACUCAAUUUGUCAUAUGCAUUGCAUUGCAGGUGAGGUUGUUACUUUUGUUCUACUACUUAAUUGGGUUGGUAUUUACUAAUUGCUAAUAAAAUUUUGACCAACUUUAAAAGCAAUGCUCAGCUUCAACCAUCCUCUUUGGUAAGCCUUACACUUCACAUGAGCUCCCACCUUUGGCGAGUUCAUGCACAUUAUUCCCCACAACUUGUUGAGCGAUGAACGUAUGUGAGCUCACUCUUGCUGUCUCACACCCCCCCACAGGUCAAGAACAGGUACCGCAGGAUGAGGCGCUUGGAGGAUGCUGCGAUGAGUUCGUGAGAGAUCUAGGCCGUCGUCUCCCAGUCAACUUUGGGUUGCUGGACCGUUGUCUCCUUAUAAUGUAAUUACUUAAUUAUUUUGUAUAGAACUCCUGUUAUGUAGUAAAGAUGUGACAUUCGAUCCUGUGCCAUGAUUCAUCAUAUGUGUGAGACUUGGUCCCAGCACACCUGGUGUUUAUGUUCGCGCCCGGGUUUUUGGACCCCUAAAAUCCGGGUGUGACAGAAGUGGUAUCAGAGGAAUGUGGACUGUAGGACGAAACCUAGAUAGAACUGGACAACCAAUACUUACUUACCUUUGCUACUCUGAUUCUUUUCUAAACUUAUCUUAAUCUUUUCUCGUCUAUUUCCGCUCUACUCUGAUUAUUCUUACCUUUUCUUUCCAAAGACAAAUGUGGAUUUCACACUUUGAAAUCUUGUGCCUAAAGUGACUUUUAGGAAUAGGAGACUUCAUCUUAGGAACAAAAACAAAACUAUUUUUUUAUAUAAUUAUCUGUGCCCUUGAAUGUUUGUUCUUAUGAUACUUGCCUGAUUUGGAUCUUUGAUUGAGUGUGAUGAGUUGUGGAGUAAUGUCCACAAUUACAUCUGCAUAUACAUAUAGAAAAAAAAACACCUAUAAAAAAAAUAACUAGAUAAACUAGAGUAUCUAGCCUAACAAUAUCCAUCUUAGCUUAAAAGAUUCAUAUUCUACACUCAUAGAUCCAUCUUAUCUUAAAAGAUACUCUAUUACCUUAAUAGAUUAAUCUUAUCUUGAAAAGAUUUUAUCUUAUCCUAAUAGAUCUAACUAACCUCAAAAGAUUCUACCUUAUCCCUAUGAAUGCAUCUUGCCCUAAUAAGCAUAUUUACCCCCACACUAGUGUAACAACCAUGAUCUAAUCCAAAGUAAUUAGACAUUAUCUAGUCUAACCUAGUUGUACCGAUCUAAUCUAGAUCCCAUCUAAUCUACUAUGAUCCAAUUUAAAGAGAGUGACCUAAGAAGUUAGUUAAUCCUAGUGAAAUACAUUAGACCCUGCUCCUAUAAACAAGUUUGAGAUCCUAGAUCAACUCGGCCAUACCCAACAACUUGACCUACAUAAUAGAUCUAUCUUAACCUCCUGUCCCAAACCCGGAUGGAGACACCAAAGAGCAAGAAGGAGGAGAUCAACCUCGACAUGGAAGAAUAGGAGUCAAAUCAGAUCUCGAGAUGAUUCAAAUUUACCACCUUGGACGGAGUCUUCCCUUAUCAAGUUCUUCUUACCAUCAGCUAACCUCACUCUGACCAUCUCUCUUCUUACAUGUGUGUCUAAACAUAGAAGAUACCCAUGCACUCCUAAUCACCCACUUUUGACUAUAAAAUACUCUGGAUAUUUGAAACAAUUAUAGACUAAAAGUUGAAUUACAAGCCAAUCGUUUUGUAUUCCUUUCCUUACAAAUCUCGAGGACGAGAUUAUUUUUAAGGGGGGUAGGAUUUGUAACACCCAGUUUGUAACCUAUAAUAAAAGAGGAGAAAUUAAUUCCUUUAUCUAUAUGAGUGUUAUUCCUACUUAUCAUCACAUGUGAACACCAUAAUCAAAAAAAUAAUAAUUAAUAAAAGACUUACCAAAAAAAAUGUGUGCAUCAUGUUGGUUCUUUAUUUUGUGUGCAUUAUGUGGCAAUAUAAAAGUAAUGUGACAAGAAAUAUAUUAAAUUCCCAAGUGGAAAUUUAGAAUUUAAAAGAAAUCCUAGAAUUGAGAAAAGAAGAGAAAUUAAUAGGGGAAUAAAAAUAAGUAUAAAAAUAUAUACAUUAUUCUUAUACAUAUUGGAUUUUGAAUAUUUUACUCAAAGGUUAAGUCCACAAAAAGGGAUUCAAAUUCAAACUAGAGAUUCAAAUGAAUAUAUAUAAAAAAAGAUAAAAGAAAAAGGGGAAAGAAGCCAACUGGGCCUCAGGCUUCAUUUCGGCCCAGUAACCAAAACACACCAUGCGGCCCGUCCAGCCGCCUGGUGGUGGUGCCGACAGGUGGGCCACCCUUGUCAUCCCGCUCUCACGCGCACUUGGCAAGAAACUUGUUACGCUGCUGGCGGGCCCCACUCGUCAGACUUAUCUCCCUUCUCACAACAACCCCCGCGUCAGCGCAACAGAACCGUGGUGCUGCCCAGGGAUUCCGAGCUCGCGCAUACGCCUACCGAAAUCGAAGCCGAAAUUCGUGGAAGACUACCUGCUCGGGCUGCCAUCCUCCCUCCGAUUUUCCCCGUCGCAACCAUCGCCGUUGAUCUCGGAUGCCGUUGAGGGUAGUCCGCACAUGGGGAAGGCCUAUAAGUUGGGCGAUGUGCGUUCCUCCUCCUAUCCCACCUCUCCAGAAGUUUCGUGGCCGGGCAGGGUGAGAUACUCGCGGUUGGGAGCUCGACGGAACCACCGUCACGUGGUCAUCUGUGCUGCUCCAUGGUCGCGUGCGUGGGCAUCGAGCGACCGCCUGCGUAGGGAGGAAAAGGGUUAGCCGCCGCGUCGUUUCCUCGGAACGCCGUCGUCCUGGCUCGGGUAGCCGCAAUUGAGGUUCGCGAGAGCACGUGGGUCAUCGUCAGGCUAGGCGCCAGGUGUGGCGGUCUCCAGAAUCCGACUAAUUCGUCGCCGGGGUUUUCUUUCGCGGCGGAAAUUGUGGUCGGCCGUGGCCGGCUGAUCUGGGCGCCAAAUCGACCGGUACGACCUAACCUAUUACCUUCCUCGCCAUAACCGCAUUCGUUUUUAUAAAUCCGGGGGUCGAAGUAGUUGGCCGGGUCGCGCAAAUCGCUUGCCGCGGCGGAACUCCGGUGGGCGUUUGGGGGUGGCGCAGCCGCAGGCGGCCGAGGGAGGAAGAUACACUUGCGCCGUCGGAUGGGAGUUGGACGGGGAUGAUUAGAAUUGAGCGUACCCUUUCGCUGAUGCCAUCUGGGCUGUUCGACUGGUCUCGGACGGGUGCGAUCAGGGCGCGCUUAUUUUAAACCAGGGCCGUGAAAUCUAGAUCCGACGGCUAGGGUUGAGCGCGGAGGGUAACUCGCCUGGAUCUAAUCUGACACGUCUGUUUCAGAUCGGGCGGUCUGAACUUGUCGAUACCGCUUCGUUGGCCACUUUGCUAAAGAGCCCUCGGGAAACUCAGAAACCAACCCGCGAUCCGUCCCUGGUAGAUUCUGAGUCUGGAGAAAUCUUAUAAGCUAGCCCCUGUCUUUCCCUGUAAUAGGCGCCUAGUCCAGAGAGUUAUAAAAUCAGAGAAAUGAAUUAGAAAAUGAGUUUUUAAAAUAAAAACAAUACCUAGAUUUUGUAUAAUUCAUAGAAAAUGCAUAUGAACUCCAAAUUAGUUCAUUCCAGUUUCUAAAUUUUCAUAAUAUUAUUGUCUAACCAUUGGUGCCUCUGUUUGGCAUGAAAGACACAUUAAAAUUUAUCUAAUACUUAAUCAUGUAUUAAAUACAUAAAAUCUUGGAAAAUUCAUAACUUAAAAUCUAUAACUCCAAAUUUAAUGAUUCCAGUUCCUGUGAUCUUAUUUUAAUAUCUAGAUUAUUACUGUGUAUUUUAUUUACAUGCUUGGUGUAAUGUUAAUUUUGCCUAUACAAUGUUUGUUUGUAUUGCUACGACUACAGCGAGGACACGUGUCAUCUGAAGAUCAUCCUGGUACCUGGAAUCUCAAGUCACAGGCAAGUUGUGCCCUUGAUCACUUCUUUUACCUACUCAUGUUCUGAUUAAUCAUAAUGAUCUGCAUAGGUUACUUUUGAUGGGACCCAAUAGGUCACCCUAGUUUGUUCAUCCUGAAUACCUUGUUUACCCCUAAAUCACUUGGGUAGUUCUGCUACUGCUUUAUAUGGUUUUGGGUUAAUAUUUCAUUACAUCUAUGUUCCAAUUAUGUUGUUAUUCUAUUUAUGUUCAUGACAAGAUCAUUAAAAUGUUAAUUGGAACAUAGAGCUUAACUUGAGAACCACGUGCCACCACAAGGGUUUAAUGGGACGCCCUUGGCUGACUAAUUAGGAAAGCUAGUGGAGGACUACCUUACCCGAAAGGGGCAAGGGCAGUAGGGGAGUGGUCAGUGUAGGGAGGCCCUCGGGAGGAUUUUGCUGCGAUGGCGGUCCUGCAAGGGAUUCCUGCAUUGGAGCUUCCUAUAAACUGUAGCGGGUUUUCUGAAGCUAGUGGAACUUUGUAAAGGCCUCGUAGUGUUACCCUGCCUCGCCUCCUCGGUAGAGGUGUAUGGGAAGUCGCGAUCCCUUGGCAGAUGGGUAACAUGACUUGUGGGUAAAGGGUACCACCUCUGCAGAGUGUAAAACUGGUAUACUAGCCGAGCUCACGGUCAUGAGCAGCUCAGGACUCUUUGAUGAUUAAAUUAUGGAACUUAAACUCAAUUUGUCAUAUGCAUUGCAUUGCAGGUGAGGUUGUUACUUUUGUUCUACUACUUAAUUGGGUUGGUAUUUACUAAUUGCUAAUAAAAUUUUGACCAACUUUAAAAGCAAUGCUCAGCUUCAACCAUCCUCUUUGGUAAGCCUUACACUUCACAUGAGCUCCCACCUUUGGCGAGUUCAUGCACAUUAUUCCCCACAACUUGUUGAGCGAUGAACGUAUGUGAGCUCACUCUUGCUGUCUCACACCCCCCCCCACAGGUCAAGAACAGGUACCGCAGGAUGAGGCGCUUGGAGGAUGCUGCGAUGAGUUCGUGAGAGAUCUAGGCCGUCGUCUCCCAGUCAACUUUGGGUUGCUGGACCGUUGUCUCCUUAUAAUGUAAUUACUUAAUUAUUUUGUAUAGAACUCCUGUUAUGUAGUAAAGAUGUGACAUUCGAUCCUGUGCCAUGAUUCAUCAUAUGUGUGAGACUUGGUCCCAGCACACCUGGUGUUUAUGUUCGCGCCCGGGUUUUUGGACCCCUAAAAUCCGGGUGUGACAAGAAACCUUUGUCUAGCCAUGAAGCGGGUUCUGUGUUGUGUCAAACAUGUCAUAGAACGCCCUUGUGGCCGCCUCUGGCUCAUCACACGUACGUCCUUCAGCGAACUAUGCCUCAUGAUAGUCGUUCAAUAUGUCCGCUACCCCGACACCAGCAUUAUAAUACUCGAUGUGUUGUCUUACCACCUCCUCUCUCAUAAGAUGCAGUUCACCAUGGAAGAUCCACCGGGUAUAGUCUAUCGUAAAUCCAUUCUUCCAAAUAUGUUCUCUCAUGACCUUCUUUGUUUGUUUUUCCUGUUUGUACAUUUGCUGCACUGACAUGGGACUAGACUUGCUCCUUUAGAAGCUUCGCCAAAUGUCCGUUCCAAGAAAACAUCAAUCUUUGUAAUCCAUUCACUAGUGACAUCACCACUUCUUACGUGGCCUGUGUACAUCCACUCACGAUACUCCAUCCUCUAACAUAUAUAGCACAGAGAAUUAUAAACCUCUAAUGCUUCUACACUACGCUCGUACCUUCUAAUAGGUGAGGAUAUGUCCUAAUCCCACCCGAGGUUGCUUAGAUGGGGUUAGUGUCCAUGCUCUACUCCGAUCCAAGACAGAAUUUUGGCAGCAUGAAAGGGAAUUAGGCUUACACCUAGUUCCUAAAUAGUUUUGGUGGUUGAAUCGCCCAACACAAAUAAAUUGGACUAACUAGUUUGCUCUAGAUUACAUGUUCUACAGGUGCCAAAGGUUCAUCUACAACUAUACUAAUUCGACUGUCCGGAAUACCGUAGAUUAUUCCGGACAGGAGAAGCUUUUUGGAAAAACAGGCCAAGCGCGGACCGUCCGGGCUCUUGCGGCGGACCGUCCGCGACAUCGGGAUACCCCUCGGACAGAACCAAUGCAAAAACACAAGUUUCCACUACAGACUGUCCGGAGGAAAAGCGAAGACCGUCCGAGCCCUCGCGCGGACCGUCCGGCCUCAGGCGCGGACCGUCCGGUCGGUAAGGAACCGAAAAACCCGAAGGUGACGGGUUCGGAGAAAUGAAUUUUAGCGGCCUCGCGGACCGUCCGGGCCAGGCGGGCGGACCGUCCGCGACUGGCUCCGUCUGACAUCUGACGUCGCAUUAAAUGCAAUAUAGCCGUUGAUAUAGCCGUUACUGCUGACCGUUGCAUCUUCAGCCGUUGAUCUACAGGGGCGGACCGUCCGCACCAGGAGGGCGGACCGUCCGCGCUCAGCAGAAAGGCCCAACGGCUAGGAAGUGGUUGGUGGCUAUAAAUACAACCCCAACCACCUCCAUUCACUUUAUCCAAGCAUUCCAACCUUCAACAUUCAAUACAAGAGCUAGCAAUCCAUUCCAAGACACUUUCAAAGCCUCCAUCUCUCCAAGUUUCACUAUUGAGAUAAGAGAUCAUUAGUGAUUAGUGGCUUGAGAGAGAAAGCGAUCCGUGUGUCAUUUGUCGCUCUUGUUGCUUGGCUUUUUAAUCGUGCUUUCUUGAUUCUUUCAUUGCGAUCAAACUCACUUGUAAUUAAGGCAAGAGACACCAAUCUUGUGGUGAUCCUUGUAGGAACUUUGUGUUCCAAGUGAUUGAGAAAAGAAAGCUCACUCGAUCCGUGGAUCGUUUGAGAGAGGGAAGGGUUGAAAGAGACCCGGCCUUUGUGGCCUCCUCAACGGGGAGUAGGUUUGCAAAAACCGAACCUCGGUAAAACAAAUCCGCGUGUCACCUCUCCAUUUGGUUGCGAUUUGUUUUGCGCCCUCUCUUGCGGACUCAUUUAUUAUUACUAACGCUAACCCCGGCUUGUAGUUGUGUUUAUAUUUGUAAAUUUCAGUUUCGCCCUAUUCACCCCCCCUCUAGGCGACUAUCAAUUGGUAUCAGAGCCCGGUGCUUCAUUAGAGCCUAACCGCUCGAAGAGAUGUCGGGAGAUCACGCCAAGAAGGAGAUGGAGACCGGCGACGAAAAGCCCACUACAAGCUACGGGAGCACUUCAUCGGAAGAGUCCCGCACCAAAAGGAGGGAGAAGAAGAAGAGCUCCUCCAACAAAGGGAAGGAGAAGAAAUCUUCUUCUCACCACAAAGAGAAGAAGGAAAAAUCUUCUUCCCACAAGCCGCAUCGGAAAGGCGAUAAGCACAAGAGGAUGAGGAAGGUGGUCUACUAUGAGACCGACACUUCAUCAACUUCUACCUCCGACUCCGAUGCGCCCUCCGUCACUUCUAAACGCCAAGAGCGUAAGAAGUAUAGUAAGAUUCCCCUACGCUAUCCUCGUAUUCCUAAACAUACACCUCUACUUUCCGUCCCUUUAGGUAAACCACCAACUUUUAAUGGUGAAGAUUAUGCUAUGUGGAGUAAUUUGAUGCGAUUUCAUCUAACCUCUCUCCACAAAAGAAUAUGGGAUGUUGUUGAGUAUGGUGUACAGGUACCAUCAAUAGGGGAUGAGGACUAUGACACGGACGAAGUGGCCCAAAUCGAGCACUUCAACUCCCAAGCCGCAACCAUCCUCCUUGCCUCCCUAAGCAAGGAGGAAUACAACAAAGUACAAGGAUUGAAGAACGCCAAGGAGAUUUGGGACCUACUCAAGACGGCGCACGAGGGUGAUGAACUCACCAAGAUCACCAAGCGGGAAACGAUCGAGGGGGAGCUCGGUCGCUUCCGUCUUCGCCAAGGGGAGGAGCCACAAGACAUGUACAACCGGCUCAAGACCUUGGUGAACCAAGUGCGCAACCUAGGGAGCACAAAAUGGGAUGACCACGAAGUGGUUAAGGUUAUUCUGAGAGCCCUUAUUUUCCUUAACCCUACUCAAGUACAAUUAAUUCGUGGCAAUCCUAGAUAUACACAAAUGACCCCCGAGGAAGUCAUCGGGAAUUUUGUUAGUUUUGAAUGCAUGAUUAAGGGCUCCAAGAAGAUCAACGAGCUUGAUGAGCCUUCCACAUCCGAGGCGCAACCCGUGGCCUUCAAGGCAACGGAGGAGAAGAAGGAGGAGUCUACACCAAGUAGACAACCAAUUGACGCCUCCAAGCUCGACAACGAGGAGAUGGCCCUAAUCAUCAAAAGCUUCCGGCAAAUCCUCAAGCAACGGAAGGGGAAGGACUACAAAUCCCGUUCCAAGAAGGUUUGCUACAAGUGUGGUAAGCCCGGUCACUUUAUUGCUAGAUGUCCAUUAUCAAGUGACAGUGACAGGGACAACGACAAGAAGGGCAAGAGGAAGGAGAAGAAGAAGUACUACAAGAAGAAGGGCGGCGAUGCCCAUGUUUGUCGGGAGUGGGACUCCGACGAAAGCUCAAGCGACUCCUCCGACGACGAGGACGCCGCCAACAUCGCCGUCACCAAAGGCCUCCUCUUCCCCAACGUCGGCCACAAGUGCCUCAUGGCCAAGGACGGCAAAAAGAAGGUAAAAUCAAAGUCCUCCACUAAAUAUGAAACAUCUAGUGAUGAGGAUGAUAAAAAUGAGGAAGAUAACUUGCGUAUUCUUUUUGCCAACCUUAACAUGGAACAAAAGGAAAAAUUAAAUGAGCUAAUUAGUGCUAUCCAUGAAAAGGAUGAUCUCUUGGACUCCCAAGAGGACUUCCUAAUCAAGGAAAACAAGAAACAUGUUAAGGUUAAAAAUGCUUAUGCUCUAGAAAGAGAAAAAUGUGAAAAAUUGUCUAGUGAGCUAAGCACUUGCCAUGAGAUUUUAGACAACCUUAGAAAUGAAAAUGCUAAUUUGUUAGCUAAGGUUGAUUCUCAUGUUUGCAUUGAUCCUAGAAAUAAUGAUGUUGAUUUGCUUGCUAGGAUUGAUGAAUUGAAUGCUUCCAUCGCUAGCCUUAGAAAUGAGAAUGAGAAAUUAAUUGCUAAGGCUAAAAAUUUUGAUGUUUGCAAUACUACUAUUUCUGACCUUAGAACUAAGAAUGAUUUGUUGCAUGCUAAGGUUAUUGAAUUAAAGUCUUGCAAACCCUCUACAUCUACUAUUGAGCAUGUGUCCAUUUGCACUAGAUGUAGAGAUAUUAAUGUUGAUGCUAUCCAUGAUCACCUUGCCUUAAUUAAAAAACAAAAUGAUCACAUAGCACAACUUAAUGCUAAAAUUAGAGAGCAUGACUUAGAAAAUGAAAAAUUUAAAUUUGCUAGAAGCAUGCUCUAUAAUGGGAGACGCCCGGGCAUUAAGGACGGCAUUGGCUUUCAAAAGGGAGACAAUGUCAAAAUUAAUGCCCCUCCUAAGAACUUGUCUAACUUUGUUAAGGGCAAGGCUCCCAUGCCUCAGGAUAACGAGGGUUACAUUUUGUACCCUGCCGGGUAUCCUGAGAAUAAGAUUAAGAAAAUUCAUUCUAGGAAGUCUCACUCUGGCCCUAAUUAUGCUUUUAUGUAUAAGGGUGAGACAUCUAGAUCUAGGCAACCAACCCAUGCCAAGUUGCCUAGAAAGAAAACUAUUAAUGCAUCAAAUGAUCAUGACAUUUCAUUUAAAACUUUUGAUGCAUCUUAUGUGUUGACUAGUAAAUCUGGCAAGGUAGUUGCCAAAAUUGUUGGGGGCAAACACACGGGCUCCAAAACGUGUGUUUGGGUACCCAAAGUUCUUGUAUCUAAUGCUAAAGGACCCAAAACCGUUUGGGUACCUAAAACAAAGAACUAAACUUGUUUUGUAGGUUUAUGCAUCCGGGGGCUCAAGUUGGAUACUCGACAGUGGGUGCACAAACCAUAUGACAGGGGAGAAAAGGAUGUUCUCCUCAUAUGAGAAAAACCAAGAUCCCCAACGAGCUAUCACAUUCGGGGAUGGAAAUCAAGGUUUGGUCAAAGGUUUGGGUAAAAUUGCUAUAUCACCUGACCAUACUAUUUCCAAUGUUUUUCUUGUAGAUUCUUUAGAUUACAAUUUGCUUUCCGUAUCCCAAUUAUGUAAAAUGGGCUACAACUGUCUUUUUACUGAUACUGGUGUUACUGUCUUUAGAAGAAGUGACGAUUCAAUAGCUUUUAAGGGAGUGUUAGAGGGUCAGCUAUACUUGGUAGAUUUUGAAAGAGCUGAACUCGACACUUGCUUAGUUGCUAAGACUAACUUGGGUUGGCUUUGGCACCGCCGACUAGCCCAUGUUGGAAUGAAGAAUCUUCACAAGCUUCUAAAGGGAGAACACAUUUUAGGACUAACAAAUGUUCAUUUUGAGAAAGACAGGAUUUGUAGCGCAUGUCAAGCAGGGAAGCAAGUUGGCACUCAUCAUCCACACAAAAACAUAAUGACUACCGACAGGCCACUGGAGCUUCUACACAUGGAUUUGUUCGGCCCGAUCGCUUACAUAAGCAUCGGCGGUAGUAAGUAUUGUCUCGUAAUUGUGGAUGAUUAUUCUCGCUUCACUUGGGUAUUCUUUUUACAGGAAAAAUCUCAAACCCAAGAGACCUUAAAGGGAUUCUUGAGACGAGCUCAAAAUGAGUUCGGCUUAAGGAUCAAGAAAAUAAGAAGCGACAACGGGACGGAGUUCAAGAACUCUCAAAUUGAAGGCUUCCUUGAGGAGGAGGGCAUCAAGCAUGAGUUCUCUUCUCCCUACACGCCACAACAAAACGGUGUAGUGGAGAGGAAGAAUCGAACUCUAUUGGACAUGGCAAGAACCAUGCUUGAUGAGUACAAGACACCGGACCGGUUUUGGGCCGAAGCGGUCAACACCGCCUGCUACGCCAUCAACCGGUUAUAUCUUCACCGAAUCCUCAAGAAGACAUCAUAUGAACUCCUAACCGGUAAAAAGCCCAACAUUUCAUAUUUUAGAGUUUUUGGUAGCAAAUGCUUCAUUCUUAUUAAAAGAGGUAGAAAAUCUAAAUUUGCUCCUAAAACUGUAGAAGGCUUUUUACUUGGUUAUGAUUCAAACACAAGGGCAUAUAGGGUCUUUAACAAGUCCACUGGACUAGUUGAAGUCUCUUGUGACGUUGUGUUUGAUGAGACUAACGGCUCUCAAGUAGAGCAAGUUGAUCUUGAUGAGAUAGGUGAAGAACAGGCUCCAUGCAUCGCACUAAGGAACAUGUCCAUCGGGGAUGUGUGUCCUAAGGAAUCCGAAGAGCCUCCAAGUACACAAGAUCAACCAUCCUCCUCCAUGCAAACAUCUCCACCAACUCAAAAUGAGGAUGAGGCUCAAAAUGAUGAAGAGCAAAAUCAAGAGGACGAGCCACCUCAAAAUGAUAGCAAUGAUCAAGGGGGAGAUACAAAUGAUCAAGAAAAGGAGGAUGAGGAAGAAUCAAGACCGCCACACCCAAGAGUCCACCAAGCAAUCCAACGAGAUCACCCCGUCGACACAAUCCUCGGCGACAUUCAUAAGGGGGUAACUACUCGAUCUCGGGUUGCUCAUUUUUGUGAACAUUACUCUUUUGUUUCCUCUAUUGAGCCACACAGGGUAGAGGAAGCUCUCCAAGAUUCGGAUUGGGUGGUGGCGAUGCAAGAGGAGCUCAACAAUUUCACGAGGAACGAGGUAUGGCAUUUAGUUCCGCGUCCUAACCAAAAUGUUGUAGGAACCAAAUGGGUCUUCCGCAACAAGCAAGAUGAGCAUGGUGUGGUGACAAGGAACAAAGCUCGACUCGUGGCCAAAGGGUAUUCACAAGUCGAAGGUUUGGAUUUUGGUGAAACCUAUGCACCCGUAGCUAGGCUUGAGUCAAUUCGCAUAUUAUUGGCCUAUGCUACUUACCAUGGCUUUAAGCUCUAUCAAAUGGACGUAAAAAGUGCCUUCCUCAACGGACCAAUCAAGGAAGAGGUCUAUGUUGAGCAACCUCCCGGCUUUGAAGACAGUGAGUAUCCUAAUCAUGUCUAUAGGCUCUCUAAGGCGCUUUAUGGGCUCAAGCAAGCCCCAAGAGCGUGGUAUGAAUGCCUUAGAGAUUUCCUUAUUGCUAAUGGCUUCAAAGUCGGCAAGGCCGAUCCUACACUCUUUACUAAAACUCUUGAAAAUGACUUGUUUGUAUGCCAAAUUUAUGUUGAUGAUAUUAUAUUUGGGUCUACUAACGAGUCUACAUGUGAAGAGUUUAGUAGGAUCAUGACACAGAAAUUCGAGAUGUCGAUGAUGGGGGAGUUGAAGUAUUUUCUAGGAUUCCAAGUCAAGCAACUCCAAGAGGGCACCUUCAUUUGCCAAACAAAGUACACUCAAGACAUUCUAACCAAGUUUGGGAUGAAGGAUGCCAAACCCAUCAAGACACCCAUGGGAACUAAUGGGCAUCUCGACCUCGACACGGGAGGUAAGUCCGUGGAUCAAAAGGUAUACCGGUCGAUGAUUGGUUCAUUGCUUUAUUUAUGUGCAUCUCGACCGGACAUUAUGCUUUCCGUUUGCAUGUGUGCAAGAUUCCAAUCCGACCCUAAGGAAUCACACCUUACGGCCGUAAAACGAAUCUUGAGAUAUUUGGCUUAUACACCUAAGUUUGGGCUUUGGUACCCUCGGGGAUCCACAUUUGAUUUACUUGGUUAUUCGGAUGCCGAUUGGGCGGGGUGCAAAAUCAAUAGGAAGAGCACAUCGGGGACUUGCCAGUUCCUGGGAAGAUCCUUGGUGUCUUGGGCUUCAAAGAAGCAAAAUUCGGUCGCUCUUUCCACCGCCGAAGCCGAGUACAUUGCCGCAGGACAUUGUUGCGCGCAAUUGCUUUGGAUGAGGCAAACCCUGCGGGACUACGGUUACAAAUUAACCAAAGUCCCUUUGCUAUGUGAUAAUGAGAGUGCAAUUAAGAUGGCCGACAAUCCCGUCGAGCAUAGCCGCACUAAGCACAUAGCCAUUCGGUAUCAUUUUCUUAGGGAUCACCAACAAAAGGGGGAUAUCGAGAUUUCUUACAUUAAUACUAAAGAUCAAUUAGCCGAUAUCUUUACCAAGCCACUUGAUGAACAAUCCUUUACCAGACUUAGGCAUGAGCUCAAUAUUCUUGAUUCUAGAAAUUUCUUUUGCUAGCUUGCACACAUAGCUCAUUUAAAUACCUUUGAUCAUAUCUCUUUUAUAUGCUAUGACUAAUGUGUUUUCAAGUCGAUUUCAAACCAAGUCAUAGGAAUAUUGAAAGGGAACUGGAGUCUUCGGCGAAGACAAAGGCUUCCACUC
rnacentral:lncRNA from 1 species